rnacentral:rRNA from 1 species
UACGAAGGGGGCUAGCGUUGCUCGGAUUUACUGGGCGUAAAGGGCGCGUAGGCGGACAGUUAAGUCGGGGGUGAAAGCCCGGGGCUCAACCUCGGAAUUGCCUUCGAUACUGGCUGUCUUGAGUACGGGAGAGGUGUGUGGAACUCCGAGUGUAGAGGUGAAAUUCGUAGAUAUUCGGAAGAACACCAGUGGCGAAGGCGACACACUGGCCCAUUACUGACGCUGAGGCUCGAAAGCGUGGGGAGCAAACAGG